rnacentral:rRNA from 1 species
UGAGGAAUAUUGGUCAAUGGGCGAGAGCCUGAACCAGCCAAGUAGCGUGCAGGAUGACGGCCCUAUGGGUUGUAAACUGCUUUUAUGUGGGGAUAAAGUGCGUGACGUGUCAUGCAUUGCAGGUACCACAUGAAUAAGGACCGGCUAAUUACGUGCCAGCAGCCGCGGUAAUACGUAAGGUCCGAGCGUUGUCCGGAAUCAUUGGGCGUAAAGGGUACGUAGGCGGGUAAGCAAGUUAGAAGUGAAAUCCUGUAGCUCAACUACAGUAAGCUUUUAAAACUGCUCAUCUUGAGAUAUGGAAGGGAAAGUGGAAUUCCUAGUGUAGCGGUGAAAUGCGCAGAUAUUAGGAGGAAUACCGGUGGCGAAGGCGACUUUCUGGCCAUAAUCUGACGCUGAGGUACGAAAGCGUGGGUAGCAAACAGG